rnacentral:rRNA from 1 species
GGGUCAGUAGGUUGGUCGUGCCACCGGUACGUACUGGUCUCACUGAUUCCUCCUUCCUGAAGAACCGUAAUGCCAUUAAUUUGGUGUUGCGGGGAAACAGGACUGUUACUUUGAAAAAAUUAGAGCGUUUAAAGCAAUCUAACGCUUGAAUACAUUAGCAUGGAAUAAUGAAAUAGGACGAUCGAUCCUAUUUUGUUGGUUUCUAGGAUUGACGUA